rnacentral:lncRNA from 1 species
UGCAUUUUUAGUAGAGAUGGGGUUUCAUCGUGUUAGUCAGGAUGGUCUUGAUCUCCUCGCCUUGUGAUCCGCCCGCCUCGGCCUCCCAAAGUGCUGGGAUUACAGACGUGAGCCACUGGGCCUGGCCAGUUUUUAUUUUUAUAUGAAAUAGAGCAUAGUGGUCAGGGCUCCAAGAGAUUCUAAGGUCCUCUGUGCCCCUGUGAAAUUAGCUAUAAAGUUUUGGGAAAGACUUCGCCUCUCUGAACCAGAGAAAGAUAAAAUCAGCUCGCCACAGGCAGAGAGUCGGUAUGCACCUAAGCACAGAACCACGCUCUUAACCGUCACUCUAGUGCCGGGUGGGGAUCUUGGUAUAUCCUAGCUCUCUCUGCAACCCCAGGUAAGCCAACGCCUAGAUGGUACCUGCACACACCUGGCCAGGUGCAGGAUAUAGCCUCUGAAGCCUGGAGUGAAGUGUUUUUCAUGUUUGAGGAACCAUGAAUCUAGAAAUGGGUGUUGGAGGAAGCAAUGCAGUCACAAGGGAUCAGGAACUAGGACGGGGGGUUUCUGCCCCUCCCGUGACUCCCCCAGAGUCACACCAUGAACCUACCUAUGGCCUAAGGUGGCUACCUGGGCUGUCUAGUUCAGGGUGUUGGUGAGGUUGAGGUCAUGGACUUGUUCUUGGAGUUCCUGGGUGGCCCUCACCUUCAGCCCCAGGCUGUGUGAAUGACUCAGGCGCAGACCUGCCUGAAAAGCACGUAUAAUCCAGUAGGGGACUUAACAAUCAACCAGGCAAUUAUAACACAGAGUUGAUGAAUUUCAUAAGGAACACAGGUGGCUGUGGGAGCAAAUACAGAUCUAACCCAGGCUUGAGUAGGGGAGGAUGGUCAGGGAGGGCUUCCUGGAGGAGGAAACAUCUAAGGUGGCAACUGUAUAAUCAGCUGGAUGGAGUCACCUAGAAAAUAAAUGAGGGGACAGCCUAGCACGGUGGUCCAUGUCUGUAAUCCCGGCACUUGGGGAGGCCGAGGCGGCGGAUCACUUGAGGUCAGGAG